AGAGUUUGAUCAUGGCUCAGGAUUAACGCUGGCGGUAUGCCUAUCACAUGCAAGUCGAACGGAAUACUAAUUAAGAGAAUCUCACACUAGUGAGAGGUUCUCACGAGUAGUAUUUAGUGGCGGACGGGUGAGUAACACGUUGGAACCUGCCCCGAAGUGGGGAAUAACUGCUCGAAAGAGUAGCUAAUACCCCAUAGUAUCCGGUUUAUCCGGAUUAAAGAUUUAUCGCUUCGGGAGGGGCCUGCGUCUGAUUAGCUAGUUGGUGAGGUAAAAGCUCACCAUGGCGACGAUCAGUAGCUGGUUCGAGAGGAUGACCAGCCACACUGGGACUGAGAUACGGCCCAGACUCCUACGGGAGGCAGCAGUGAGGAAUCUUCCACAAUGGGCGCAAGCCUGAUGGAGCAAUACCGCGUGCAGGAAGACGCUUUUCGGAGUGUAAACUGCUUUUGUCGUCGAAGAUUAUGACUGUAGACGAAGAAUAAGGACCGGCUAACUACGUG
rnacentral:rRNA from 1 species